UGGAGAAACGUGUUCCCUUCCCCUGCUUCCUUAAUCUCCACCGGGUAACAGGUGCCCACCCGCCACCUCGAGGGACACACUGCCGCCCUCUCAGACCCCGGCGGGGCGGGGAAGACUGUGCGGCUCCUCGGGCUCUAACGUCCGCACCGUCGGCGCUGGGCGCGCGGUCAGAAGCCCAGGCCUGCGAGCUGGAGGCGCUGGGCGCGCGCAUGCGUGCGUUCGCAGUUUUAUCCUGAAUUCCACCUUCCAGUCCUCAAAAUCAGUUCUUCCUUGGGCUUCAGCUCUGACUAAAGUCACCUCAAGACCAGGAGAGCUUGCAAGAGAGGUGAUGGAUUCAAGAGAGAAUCUUGAAACACUGCCUCUGUAAACCUUUUGUGUACCACAAACUUAAAAGCUAUAACUAGGAAUUCAAGCCUAAGAAUUCGUUUUGUAUGCUUUACCUGCUUUAAGACAAGCUGGCUUUCUACCAGUAGGAAUGUGAUAUUGGUGAUAUUGCUUCAUCCUAGAGUUUGGGUAAGUAUUGUAAUGACUGAUGGAUAUAAGAAGUCAAUGGAGGCUUUACCCUUAAAGAGAAGGUCAGUGUUUCUUAUUUUCUUCCUUCUGCCAUGAAGCUUUUCUAGAAAUAGAAUCUGGGUUUCUUUUAUUAGUUAAUCUUUUUCCUCCCACCAUCUUUUUAUAUGUAAACUAAGCUUUUUUUGAAAGCAAUUUAUGGCAAUGUUGUCCAGUUUUCUUUGGCAAUUAAAGAUAGGUAUGUAUGUGAGUAUGUCUGGUCUCAAGCUCUAAUCAUUCUGUUAUUCAUUCAGACCUGAUUUGGAAAAAGUAGAAGAGAAAGACUUCUUCAUCUGUAUUAAAGAGAGCUACUGUCAAUAAUUGUAAAUGGGUUUUAGAGACUUAAUGAUUUUGUCUUAGUAAGUAACAAACAACACUUAGUUCUCUAAUUUUAUCACUUGCAAACCUGUAGAGUUCUCUCCAACUAUCAAUUGUUCCUGUUAGAUAGCUACAGCUGAAAAGAUGUAGUGUUUAUUUCAGGGUACAUUCAUAGUAUACAGUGAUGCUGAGAUGUAACAAAUGCAUUACCAGGUCCCUUAUCAAAUAUAAAGGAAUCA